GACGAACGCUGGCGGCGUGCCUAAUACAUGCAAGUAGAACGCUGAAGGAGGAGCUUGCUUCUCUGGAUGAGUUGCGAACGGGUGAGUAACGCGUAGGUAACCUGCCUGGUAGCGGGGGAUAACUAUUGGAAACGAUAGCUAAUACCGCAUAAUAGUAGAUGUUGCAUGACAUUUGCUUAAAAGGUGCAAUUGCAUCACUACCAGAUGGACCUGCGUUGUAUUAGCUAGUUGGUGAGGUAACGGCUCACCAAGGCAACGAUACAUAGCCAACCUGAGAGGGUGACCGCCAACCCGGGGACAGAGAAACGCCCCAAACCCCUAGGGAAGGAACAAGAAGGGAUUCUUCGAAAAGGGACGAAAGUCGUACCGAAAAACCCCGCGUGAGGAAAAAAGUUUUUCGGAUAGAAAACUUUUUUUAAAAGAAAAAAACGAGUGGGAGAUGGAAAAUUUCACCCUGUAACGGUAUUUAACAAAAAAGGGACGCCAAACUACGUC
rnacentral:rRNA from 1 species